rnacentral:lncRNA from 1 species
UUCAGAUCUCGUCUAUGUCAACAAGAAAAAGGUGGAAGCUCACCACAAAAAACAACUUGCUGAAAAAGAUGGGAAAAUAGCUGACAUGCACUCUGCAAUGGAAAGACUUGAGGAUCAAGUUAAACAAAAAGACACAGACUAUGCUGAACUGGAAGAACAACUUGUAAAAGAAAGAGGGGAUCUCACAACACAGAUAGAAAAGAAGAAUGAGGAAGUUGAAGCUGUGAAAACAAAAUUGUCAAAGGCAAAUGAUGAGUUGUUGCAGAUUCGAGCAAAAUAUGAAA